CUGUCAAGGCGGGAGUUGGAAGCAAGCCAGUAAUAACUCAUAAGAUGUCAGUGAUGUUAACUCUCUAUUUACAUAAACCAAAUAGCUCACGCCUAGUAAUCUCAGCAACUCUUCCCAGUAGGUCUUGCCCCAAUGAGGCAGUUGCGAGGAAUGAAUGGGUCCACCUUCCCACCAUUCUCUAAGGCUCCCCCCAGUCCUUCCCCAGAAACCUGAGGCUCCUUCUUCUUGUCUCUCUUUGCUCCACACUUUUCAUUCCUCUUUGUGUUCUGAGAGACCAGGUUUGGAGGGCAGUUGGAUGCAGCAGGAGGGGGAGACUCCCUGGAUUCUUCAGCUGUCUGCUUGAUCUCUGCCUCUUAACCCCACUCCUCUCCAGCCACCACUUCUGCCUGAUUCUGGACUGCCUUCUGCCCACUAAACCCUGUUGCCUCUACAGCUUCCGACACCUCCUCCCCGCAGUCUGCUCCUUCUUCUCCCUCUGAGCAGGCAGGGCUACUCUCAGUAUCUGAUGGCGCAGGAGUGGGUUUAUCAGCGAGAGGCUCCGCCAUGCUUGGAGAGGGAGGCAGGGACAGAGAAGGUGAUGGCACACCCAGGGAUGGAUGAGACAAGAAGCAUGUUGAAUGAUAAGUUGUAGAGUUGAAAGGGAUUCUGAGGGUCUUCUAGUCCAACUCCUUGCUACAAAGGAAUCUCCAACCUCCAAUGAGGGAGAGUCCACCACCUUCUGAGGGAGCCUGUUCCACUGUUGAAUAGCUCUUGAGGCAGCCCCCAUCCAGGAUCCUCACUAGCCGAUUCCCCCACUCCCAUCAGAGGCCACCACAUCCUGCUGGAGCUCUCCUCUUGGUCCUUGGUCAAUUCUCCACCUGCAUUGCCCCGACUUGGCCACCCCACGACACAUUUAACAGGAGAUGAAUGCAUCAUACAUUUUUACUCCAUUGCACUACAGUCCUUCCCCAAUGAGCUAGGCUGAAGGAAAGGGCAUACAUUCAGCAAGGACUCUACACCUUGACUUGUUCUGUAGCCAGUUUACACAUUUCCACAGAGGCAGCAUUGGGCUUUGGCAAGAUUAUCCACUUUUUAUCUUAUCGUGGUCUGAAAGGAUCUUGUGUGAGAUUUGAUAAGCAAUUUAUUGACUCAUGUUUGAAGGUCUACAAAUUUCCUAGAAACCACUGUCAGUAUGAAAGGCGGGGGGGGGGGAGAGAAAGAUGACUCAGUAGAAGAGAGGCCAAGAAGUCCCUUGUCUGCUUCCCACAGAUAAAUCGCAUUUCUCUUUCUGACUUACGCCAGGAAUGCAACUUUCACCAGUUGAACAGAUUCCUUAAAACUGUUGGAAAUGCUAUCUUUGGAUUUUAUAACACAUACGAUAUAGAGAGUGAAAUGUAGGAACCAGCCUCACAGAGGCGCCAUGUUCUCAAGUUGAUUGAGGGGGCCCAAUGUGACGCCCUGACAUUGCGCGUGUGACAUUGCGAGGAGCCAGGGGGUGGAACCAAACACCUUCUGAACAUGGAGGGGGCCCGGCCCUCUAAAAAUAAAAAUAAAAAAAAUGGGGGAGGGGGAGACUGCCUCAGCCCCUAGGAGUCGGUGCCUAUGCAGCCUCAUAAUGGGAAUUGGACUAAUAAUAAUUAGGGCUGCUUUGCAAUAAUCAAUGCAGGUCUCCAUGCACUGCCUUUUGGCUUGAUCUACAAUUUUAUCUGCAAAUGAUUUGGGGUGUUAUGAAAUCUUAAUUCAGAGUGACUUAUAUGGUGUUUUCUGUGACGUUCCAUUGUGCAUAACAGAACUUGCGCAUCAUUCCCUCGAGGCUGAAGCACCUUGUAUUUUUAGUGCUCCUAAAUGCUUAGCUUUGGAGCAGGGGCACCAGCUCCAGGGGGACAAGCCCUUUUGCGUCCCGAAUAUCUUUGGGGUGGGGGCCAUGUUUCAUUGGAGUCAUGUCAUGUGCUUUAAACAUUCUUUGAAUUUAGGAUAAGGUAAGCAAACUUAAAGGACGUGGGUGGCGCUGUGGUCUAAACCACAGAGCCUAGGACUUGCCGAUCAGAAGGUCGGCGGUUUGAAUCCCUGCGAGGGGGUGAGCUCCCGUUGCUAGAUCCCUGCUCCUGCCCACCUAGCAGUUCAAAAGCACGUCAAAGUGCAAGUAGAUAAAUAGGUACCGCUCCGGUGGGAAGGUAAACGGCAUUUCCGUGUGCUGCUCUGGUUUGCCAGAAGCGGCUUAGUCAUGCUGGCCACAUGACCCGGAAGCUGUACGCCGGCUCCCUUGGCCAGUAAAGCAAGAUGAGUGCCGCAACCCCAGAGUCGGCCAUGACUGGACCUAAUGGUCAGGGGUCCCUUUACCUUUACCUUUAUGCAACCUUAGCGGGCUUUAAAUGGGAAUUAUGGAGGGCACAUCUACCAGUGACAAUUUUUUAUGUUAUCUAACGGAGUCCUUCAAGUUCAGAAAGAGCAUGUUUCCAGGUCCCAAGUGCUGCAGAAAAACAAGGAAGAGGUGAUCCUCUUUGCUUGUGCCUUUACCAGAGGCAUCUUCUGGGUUACUGCAGAGAAUAGGAUACAUCCUUAGCCUCCGUGUCCAGUCACUGAGUCUCUUAUGCCUGCUCACAUUCAGCCUCCUCCUACACUUCUCUCUUGGAUCCCGUGUCUCUUUUUAAAUCCCUUGACUUCCUUGGAGAUGUUAUCUGAGUCAACAAUUGGGAAAUUAAAUUAUUGCGCUCAUCACGUCCUGCUUGCCGGCUUCCAAUUGGCAUCUGGUUGGCUGCCAUGGAAACAAAAUGCUGAACUAGAAGGGUCAUUGGCCUGAUCCAGCAUGGCUCUGUUAUGUGUUUGUUACCAACAAUGUGCUCUCAGUGUAGGUGAGAACUCAGUGCCUUGCUGUUCAGAAGUGGGGGCCUAAAACCUACGAAUGAUGACAGUGCUGUAUGUGACUUCUGAACAGCACCUAGGAACAUACUGUUGCUGGAGCAAUUCAGUCAAAUUUGAUAUCUUUUAUACUCCUCAAUCUACAGGUACAUACUUCCCCAAGUGCCCCGGGAAAAAAGGGACAUCCCAUUUUUUUCUCACACAAGAUCACGGCAGCCAUUUUGAGUGCUGUGAUUUCUUGCGCUCUUCAAAAAAGCAUGUGAGAUCUCACCCUCAAAAAGUGCUUGGGGGGGGGAAAGUGAGGCACAGGUCACAUGACUCGCCUGGGAACAUGCCCCAGAAGAUGCGCAUCCUGGUUUGGAACUUGGAAAAGAUGAAUGGUAUGUAGGUGUUAAUGGGAUAAUGAAUAAUCAAUAAAAAAUAUUGUGGCCUGAAUUCAACCAAUCUGACAUGCUAGCGUUAGUUAGCGCAAAGGCUCUUGCUAGCACAACAGAAAUUUGCCUCCUCUCCUUCCACCACAUACCCAUGUGCAACAUCCACUCUGGAGGGUCAGAAGAACCCCCAGAGCAGUGCAUGGAUGGAGGAGGAGGGGUUUGUUCCACCCAGAAAGCAGGAACGCUUGCACAGAUGGAGUGAUCAGAAGAGCUUGGCGCUGAAUUCCUCCCAAUACAUCUUAAGAAUAGUUCAGCAUCAAGACUGCUUUUAUGGACUUCCUGUGUAGAUGCUUAUAGGAACCUCAUACUCCUUUUCCAAAGAAUAUCUUUGUCCAUCUCUAUAUGUGCGUGUGUUGACGUGUACUUCUGCUUUGCUCUUUGCCUUCUACAGGUAUAGUUGUAGCCUUGUUUGCCUGCAUUAUGAUAUGGGGAAUGUGUGACGUAAGCCGUGCCAAAAAUUAUUUUAAAAUUCGUGAGCCACAGCACCCUUUUUUCUUAUGCUUUAGAUCAGGGUAACCCAAACUUGGGUCUCCAGCCGUUUUUGGACUACAAUUCCCAUCAUCCCUGACCACUGGUCCCUGACCACUGGACCAUUGGACCACUAGCUAGGGAUGAUGGGAGUUGUAGUCCAACAGCUGGAGACCGAAGUUUGGGGAAUCCUACUUUAAAUAUUACAAGUGGGACCCACAAUGAGACAUGGCAAAGCAUCCUCACCUCUUAAAAGGAGUGGUCCCUUUGGGGGUUCUAGCCAACCAUUCCCUCUGUUCACCACUUUUGUGUAUAUUCUUCAAGCAACACUCAACAUUUCAUUACUACUGAACAUCACCACCACCAUUAUUUAAAUUGCAUUAUUUAUUAUUGUUACUGUUGUUAAUAUAUUCUGCAUUUGUAUUAGUUACACUGAAAGUGGCUAAUAAUCUGGUCAAAAACGUUGCCAUAAAACUUUGGUCCCCCUCCCCUCUCAUGCUCUGAACAUUUCCCUAGUCAGCUUGCUUUUGUUUUUCUGGAAAAGAAAACAUGGUUGGGCCACAGAGCAACCCAGGAGUUGAUCUCACUAACCUUGCUAAAGGUAACAUCCAACUCAGAAAUGUGAGAACCUUCCCCAAGUUACCUCAUUUCUUGUAGUUUGGGGUACAUGCAGAACCUAUACAAACCUGUAUUAUAUACUAAUAGCAAACACAUUUGCAAGUGCCAAUCUUUAUCCAGCCAACAUGGUGCUAUGCAAGCAGAUCAGCAAGCUCAGGAGAACCCCAACGUUUGCAGAAGUACAGAAAAUCUUUAGAAGAGACUCCCCUCCCCAAAUGGGCAAAUAAUGCGUGCUCAUAGUGCAUGGAAUACUGACUGUCUGUUAAAGGAGAAUUAUGGAUUGGAGCAUCCUGGAAGGGUUGACUGGCUGGCUUGCAAGCUGGACAGGAGCAGCCCACAUAGCAACCUUGUAUUGCAGGCCUCCCAUACCUUGUCUUUUUCACAUUUCUCGGAUUUAGUACUCGUACAAAUAAAUACUAGUAUCUUCCAUUAUGAACUGUAGUAAUAAGCUCUAGUUAGAAUCCUGUAUUUGAAGAAGAACAAGGUCUGCCUAGAAAAGCAUUUUCUCUCGCUAUAGCCCUCUGGUUCCCUGUGGCUUACAGCCCAAUACUACAAAACCACUAUAAUUCAGCAUAGUUUGGCAAGGCUGGCAGCCUUAGUGGUCUCCCAUUGUCAAGCCAUAACCUCUUACAGUAAAUUUUUAGAAACUAUGAAAAUUGGCUAAAGCCGAAGGUAGAAACCACACACAGACCCAAUCAUCCCAUUAAAUAACAGAUUUUUGAUAAACCAUAAAGUUAAAUGGCCUAUAGUAACUGGGGGCAAAAUUGCAUUUAUCCCUUGCUUAAGUUUCACAACUUCUUCCAAAGGAAACUUGACAUUCAAAGCCUAAUCAACAGUAACUCUUUUAUUAUUUUUAUUAUUCAAAGCCUAAUCAACAGUAACUCUUUUAUUAGAUGUACUGAAGACAGACACAUACCAACCUGACGCUACUGAAACACCAAGGUGACUAGAACUCUGGGAAAUGAGGCAUGUAGGUGAUCAUGUUGGACUAAAGAGAUCCAGAUUUAAAUUCCAGCUUUGCUGUAUGGCCUUGAGCAAACCACGGUAUUUAACUUUCGUUGAAAAUAUGCAUAGCAAAGACCUAACUUACAGGUUUUGUUAUGACAGAAGGACUGCAAAGUUCUUUGCACCCAAAAUGCACAUGAUAGAUUGUGGCAUUGUAUUUCAAUCCACAUAUCAGGAGUAGCAAUUGCAAUAAACACUGUUGUUUCAGGAUUCAGUUUCUUCCACACUGAUAGAUCUAGCUCUGUCUGUCUUGCAUCUGAAUCGUACAGACGGGGGAUUGAUGAAGCCAGUGGGCUGCUGAUUCAGCAAUUUGCAUUGUUCUGAGUGAUAUAUCUUCAUGUCAGCUCCUAUUUUCAUGCAUACCACUGGUCAGGUUCUAUGUAUUGCUCAAAAUCCGUUAGCUUAGAACCCAUAGGUGGAGUUGCCUUCAUGGCAUGGGGCUUCAUCAGCUCGUCCUUCUCACUACUACCCUCUGAAAAGCCGCUCCUGAGGUUGGAGAACCUAUCAGAGUGGCAUUGGAUGGGAAAUGGGUGGGCUGCAGUGGGGGAACCUGAAAAAUCAGAAGUCAUUCCCAUUGCCCCUGGAAGUGCCUUGCAUAAAUGGAAGGGAUCCACUGUUCUAAGCCACUGCAUUUCUAGAUAUUCUUUGACACACAAUUGCUAGCUGACCCUUGCACUCCUCAAACCCAAAUGUCUGUACUCACCUUGACCCCAUCUUUUCCCCAACCAUCUCCCACUAAUUAAAGAGACCCCUUUUAUCCUUCUUAUUUCUACCCUCUGUGAGCUGUGGUUGUAUCCUCUAAGUACAGAUUGGUUUUGUUUUAUCCAGAAUCGUGAAGGGAAGUAGACAAUGUAGGCCAGAGGCAAGCUGGUUCAGAUGUGAAAAUCUGCAGCUGCAGUGGCAAAUAAAAUACUCUUUUUUUCAAUGCACAUCAUUCUGACCCCCCCCCCCGGUCUUAAUUUAUACUUUACUACUUGAUGAUGUUUUCUUCUGUGCUCCUUAUUCUCCUAUCUCAGAUUUACUACAACCCGAAAAUGUUGCAGUGGCUGGCUGUUUGUAAAAUAAACAGAAGAAACUGUGACAUAGCACUGGGCCAGAUGUUCCUGAUAGCAUGCUGCCAGCAGAAGAAUUCUCAUCCUUGAAGAAAGUUUUCUAAGUGGUCAUGACACUCUUGGUCAUGGUAGGUUUUUUGUUUUGUUUUGUUUGCUCCCCUCCUUUUUUUUGGCAAAACGCUCAGUGCCCUAAGACGACUUCUUCAGACUUGGCUCCAGAACCGCCUGACAGACCUCCAUGCACAAUAAAAGUCUUAAUCAACAUGCUGAUUAUCCAUGUGAAGAUUUAGGCUUGAUAUAUGUUUUUCUAGCAGGCUUGCUUGAAAAGCUAGUUCUGUUGAGUUCAGUCUUACUGGCCCCGGUUGAAUUAAAGUUAAGAGAAGGGCCAGGGCUUGAGUGCAGAGAUAUGACUUUGCAGGCGCUACAACCCUGGUUCUAACUCUGAGAUCUCCAGCUGGGACUGGCAACAUCUCCUUACCUCCAGCCUUGGAGAGAUGCUGCCAGUCAGUUUAAACAACGCUGAGGUUCAAUUAUCUGACUCAGAUCAAAGGCAGCUGUCUAUGUUUCUUUGUACAGUGGUACCUUGGUUUAAGAACAGCUUAGUUUAUGAACAACUCGGAUUGAGAACGCUGCAAACCUGGAAGUAGGUGUUUUGGUUUGUGAACUUUGCCUUGGAAUAAGAACAUGUUUCACUUCCCGUUGAGUGUGUUCCAUUUGUAAAUUGAGUCCCCCGCUGCUAUGGGAAAGCACACCUUGGUUUUAAGAACGCUUUGGUUUAAGAACGGACUUCCGGAACGGAUUAAGUUCGUAAACCAAGGUACCACUGUAUAUAAGAAGCAUUUCUCACGAGACGGCAGAGACCACUGGAAACUCUCUCUGUGCGCAUCAGACCAGUGGCAUAGUGUGGGGGGGGCGAGGGGGGUUGUGGUCCCGGGUGCAGAAUUCUGAGGGGGCACAACCCAGCGUGCCCACAACAGGCUCCCUCGCCAAGGUUGUGUGGCUGCCACUUUCUGGAGCCACGGGUAGGCAAGCCGGGCCCAGGCUAGGUCUUCAAGGCUGCGGCGGCACCACCUUCUUGUGGCUGGCGAAGAGAAGCCCAUCCUGGGUGGAAUUCCCACCAGCCAGUUCCUGGACAUUUCCUGGCCCACAUCGGUCCUUCCCCGGUGCCUCCCUCCCAGCAUGUGUCAUUGGGCAAAGCACGUGCCCCACAGUGGGAACAGAGAGAGGAAAGCUGCCUGCUCACCCAGAACCUUUUGGUGCCCACCCUUGUGCUGCACGACCAAAGAGAGGUGGGCAGGGACGGGCUGCACUUGGUGCCUCAGCCUGUUCUCUACCGCCAUCCUCCUAGACCAGCUGCAUCUCCAGCGCUUCUGGGACGCCACCCAACCCACCAAGGAGCAGCAGCCACUGCUUCCUCUGGGAGUUCGCUAAGCUGAGAGGGCGAAUGCGGUGACUUGCAGGCAACCUCCAUGAGGAGCAGGUACAGCAGGGGUACAGUGAAGACCACUUGUUGCCUCCCACGCAAUGCCUGCAAGGAGGUUAGGAGGUGCAACCCUUGCCUUGCCCCGGGUGCUGCCAAUGCACGCUAUGCCACUGCAUCUGGCACAUGCCUUGUUCAUGAUAAUGUCUUUGAAUUCUCACAGGUCUCUCUUCCUGCUGCUGCUGCUCUUCCGUAGGAGGCUAAAAUGGUG